AACCACCCAGACUUACCAAAGGUCCCAUAAGUUUUAAGCAUUGAAAACUUUGGGCGUGGCAAACAGAACUCCUUAUGUUAAGUUCAGGUGAUGGUAUUUGCUGACUUCACCGGAACCAACUCAUGCCUGAGGUUUUAAAAAGCAUACAAAACCAUUUAUUUGUCAUGCAAAAGGAACGUGGAUCACAAACUAAAUGACAGAGAAAGGGAGUCAACGUUUCAGGUGUGCAGGGAGAAGUGACCCUUGCAGUUCCUGCACAAGAGGGCACCCAGUUAGUUCCAGCCCUGCACCAAGAACCUCUGCUACUGCUACCGCGCGGGGGAGCCACCUGCUGCUCGGCGCCCUUUGUUUCCACCACAGAGGCGUGGCCCCUCCUUUGUGCAGAGCCUACGUGUGUCCUAUACCCCUUGCCCCCACCCCUGGGCAUCCUGUUCAAGAGUGGGGCCUCCUUGUGAACUUACUGCCCUUUCAGAGGGUGGCCUUUUGUGGGCGUCUCUGCCCUCUGGCCUUAGGACCACGGGACUCCCGCAGUGCUCCCCUUUCCCGGGAGCGGCACCUGGGCGUUAUUGAGCUCAGGUGUUCCAGGUCUUUAUCAGGAUGCACUUCUGUCCCACUGGCUCCCAGCGUGUUUUAGCAGCUUCCUGUUUCUGCUUUGCUGCGUCCAGGCCACAGUGGAAGCGAGGUCACCAACGAGACCUGUCUUUGAAUAUGCAGUAAAAGGACUGCUCUUGGGUAGGCAGGUGUGGAAAUGCACUUAGUCCUAUAGGUUGUCAUCAGGAACUGGAAUCACGUGAUCAAGAGCCAGCAGAGGCUGUGGAUAAGCUGAGAUAAGAUUUAGCUGUUUCACUUCACACUCAGUGGUUUUGGUCAUUUAGUCCUCACCUCCGAGAACCAUGGUCAAGACAUAAGUUAUCAACUCAUUUGGGCAAAAACCAAGGAACACGAUUGCUGGAUCAUAUGAGAAAUAUGGCUGACCGAUGGCCAAGCAAACAAGAACAUAAACAAUGAACACUUCUAAAUAGCAAGCCUCUUCUGACAUGAAGUGUUAAUAUUUAUUCAAAGAAUUAAACAUGGAAAAGAUCUAAAGGGAUGAACUAGACUGUAUAGCUUUCUGUAGGGAGAAAAUGCAAGAGAAGGGAACAUUGUUCUAUUUCUGCCAGCAAGAAGUUACCAAGCUUGUGAGGAAAAGGUGACACAGACAUAUAUGCUAGAAAAAUCAGUUAUUAGAAGAUAUUUAACAAACAUAGAUUUUUGUACCCACUAUAUUCCAAAUAAAGGUUUAGUGUCUGGGGAAGACAAUACUGAACAAGCUAGAAAAUAGAGCUUAUAUUCUACUGAGGCAGGAGACAGACAAUAAAGACAGAAACAUCUACAGAGAGAGGUGCAGUUGUGAAUAAAUGCAAAGAAGGCAAUGGUCCUGACAAUGGCAGGCGGUAAAGUGUAGCUUUCUGUGGAUACGAUGGUCUGGCAAGUCCUCUCCUAGGAAAGGCUUUUGAGCAGAAACCUGAAUGAUGAGAAAGAACCAGUCACUGACAGUUCUGGUUGAAGAAUGUUUCAGGCAGAAGCAGCAGCAAGGUUAAAGGGCCUGAGGUGAAAAGGAAUUUCAGGUAUUGAAAGGACGUGUAGCUGGAGCUCAUUGCUGUGUGCACGUGGAUAGGGAGACAUGUGAUAUGCACACUCAGAAAUGGCUGAUAUUAUAUAGUCACCAUAGUUUCCCAGUCCGUUCAACUAAUAUGUCAUGUCACACUCAAAUGCCUCAGCUUUAUGACCUGAGAUAUUAGAAUAAUAACAUUGUAUAUCUCUUAUAAAACCAUUCCCUUUCUAUUGAUUUUUGUCCACAGAGAUCAUCAUAGUGCUAUUAUGAUUUCCAUUUAGCACUUACUCGUCCUUACUGGUUAGUUGUACAAUCAAUACUGUGUCUAGAAAGCAGAAGCCAUCUUUAUUUCUCUUAUCUCUUUUUUGGUAAGCAUGAGGGAAGGGAUCUCUCUUGCAUUGGGAAACAAACAAAUUGCUGUGGAAGUACAAGUAAUAACAUCAUGUUUCUCUGGUACAUACUAGGAAACUACAUUGUUUAUUUGCAAAGAAUCACUUCUGCUUUCAGCCAAAGCUUGGUACUAUCCAGACAUUUCAAACUGCACAUUAUAGCUUGGCUGCUUUCUUUAAGGAAACGCUGAUUCCUGAGGCCAUCCUGCGUUUGGAGCAGACGGCUGCCCUUUAAAUCUAGUGAACCAAUCAUUGAUUUAUUUGCCAAUUUCUGACUAUAUUUUGCUCAAAAAUACCCAUUUAAAAACAAACUCACUCCCCAAAUAUCUUUCCACGCUGUGUCGGCCUACUUUUAUAAGCCCACAUUAUCAUUGUUAACAUGUAUUAUAUAACUUGUAUGUGUGUACUGUGUGAUUAAGAAUAGAUUAUUUUACCUUAUGCCUUUAAGUACCUUAAGACAUAAUUUCACAGAAGUUUUCUUGUUCAUUCCCAAGUGCUCCUAAGUAUUGCUGUAUACAUUUUUGUCCACUUGUCUGUCUUUACUGCAUACUAAAUAACUCUGUAAAUAUUCUUCCUCUUUCCCCAGUUUAAAAAACAUCUUAGACCUUUAAAAAUUACUAAAAGUAUAAGCAUACUUUAAAAAUC